rnacentral:misc_RNA from 1 species
GCAGUGGGAUGGGAUAAACAUGCCUUCAUCUGAGAAUGGGUUCACUGGUACGGAGAAUAUUAGCAUCGGCUAUGUUGCAGAUGAAUGGGACGAGGAAUAUGAUCAAGGGAAGAGGAAGAAGAUCCGACAAUUUAAACACUCUUUUGGUGGACCAAAUCCUUUCCAGGAGAUUGCUACCAAGAAAUCACACCUAAAGAAGCUAAAGCUGGAAAGAUCUGCAUCUGCAAACGAACCAUUUAGGAUAUAAAGAAAACAGGACGUGCCCACAGGCUGUAAGUAAGUUCUUACUUGACUGGCCACUUGUGGGUACUUCUACCAAUUUUGAUGUAGCAUUCUUCUUGGGGCUCAAAUUGUCCAUUGAUUAAGUGUUGUUAUUUUCCCCCUUGGGAAAG